CUGGAGGUCCGGACCGGAGGUGGCCAAGAGAGGUCCUCGGCGGCGACAAAGAACAGGAGUUUCAAUUCAAGUCAACAUCCUCGAUCUCUUCCGUCUCUUUUCUCGUCAUUGAAGAUAGGGGAACGUUUGCCCGUUGAAACGGAAUCUCUUGCCAGUAGUCAGAGGGAGCUGACGACAGUGGCGCGAAGGUCUCAAACAUUCGGCCCGGCACACGCCGUCACCGGCGUCGGCGGGCAGAUCACCUUGGGUGUCGAAUCGGAGGGGCAGCUGGUGGUCGACGGCGAGGACACGAGGGUCACGGUGGCGUUCAUGUCGAUGUCGGGAGGUGGGCUCACGUCGUCGCGCUGCGGUGCGUGGCGCGGGAGGCGGGAGCCCCGCAGGCGGCCGUCGAUGGCGGAGGUGUUCCUUCCUCUCGCUCUCGGCGUUGCACAAAUCGACGUUCGGUUGGGGAAUCGUGGAUCUCGGCGCCUCGGCGGCGUGAUGAGUGAAGGCCGAAUGGAGACCCACUAG
rnacentral:lncRNA from 1 species